rnacentral:rRNA from 1 species
UACAGAGGGCCCGAGCGUUGUUCGGAUUCAUUGGGCGUAAAGGGUGCGUAGGCGGCGGGGUUAGUUUGAUGUGAAAUCCCGGGGCUCAACCCUGGAAUUGCAUUGAAUACUACCUUGCUAGAGUACCGGAGAGGAAACUGGAAUUUACGGUGUAGCAGUGAAAUGCGUAGAGAUCGUAAGGAAGACCAGUGGCGAAGGCGAGUUUCUGGACGGUAACUGACGCUGAGGCACGAAGGCCAGGGGAGCAAACGGG